ensembl:misc_RNA 7SK 7SK RNA
GAAUGUCAGUCUCAGAAAAGACCCUGUGCCUAGAUAUAUUUGGCCCUUGCGGGUGUCCCCUUCCUCCCUCACCGCUCCAUGUGCGUCCCUCCCGAAGCUGCAUGCUCGGUCGAAGAGGACGACCUUCCCGGAAUAGAGAAGGACCGGUCUUUGGUCAAGGGUAUAUGAGUAGCUGCGCUCCCCUGCUAGAACCUCCAAACAAGCUCAAGGUAUGCCAUUCUUAAGUGACUGAUAAAAUUGAGAAAAAAAGAAAGAAAAUUACUUGUUAUUAUUGUUGUUGUUU